UGUUACAGUUCUCAGCUCUCUAUCCCAGACUCAACUGCAAAGAAUUAAUUGGAAGCUAAUUUUAUUACUUCAUGGAUCUUGCUGUGCAGCCAAAAACAUUUAGAAACCUGAAACUCUCUCCCUAUGAAAUGUGAAGAAGCUGCAUGAAGCAAUUUGGUCUAAUUAAAAAAUAUCUCCAACAUUUAUUUUCUUCAUCGUCACCAACAAAAUCCCACUCUGCAGAAGCAAAUACUUUUUCUUGAUUAACAGAGAUAAAGGAAUCUGCAGAUAUUUUAGCUGAAUCUCUCAUUCUGUACGGUUGACCAGCCAGAAGGCUGAACAGAUUGAUUCUCAUAUAUUGGGACAAACAGUUUGCAGUGUAAUAGUAACAGAGACAAAAUAUGAAGGUCCAUGUUCAAAAACAUAAUAUAGAUAGGAAGCACCUACAGGACCGGUCACUCUGGCCUGACCACAGUGGCUUAAGCAAACUGAGGAAAAACAAAACAAACUGCUUGCCCUGAAUAAUGCAGCAUUUGUGCAGUCCCAGUUACAUUUUGAAGAUCACACCUCAUUGUGGUAGGCUGAGCUGCAGAAAGGAGCUAUUCUACUUCCUCUUGAGGCAUAAAUCACGUAACACUCAUAGUGCCCCUGGAGACUUGCUAAGGUCCCCAGUAGCUGAGGUUAUCUUCCGCAUCCUCGCUUGGGAGUGUUAGCCACUUCCACUGAUGCCCCAGCCCCCAGCCAGGACAUGGAGAAGGUAAGUCAGAACAGCACACCGAGGAUGUGACAUUCUCUAACGGGCGGCGGCUGCAGUGCGCAUCUGCAGGGACUUGGGACCUUUCUGAGCAUUGGGGAUGUCAUCCAGACAUUUGAGUUGGAGCUAAAUCUCUGGAGAAGAGCCUGAUGGGUGGCUUUAGAACCCAUUAGCUCCAAGUCUUUGGGUCUGCAGGCCAGGGCCAUGAGGGAUUGGGGCCAUUGUUCCUGUUUCAUACUUGGGCUUCAAGCUUUUGCUGUACAGAGCAGAGGACUCUCCUCCUGCCUGUUGCUGAUGUUGUAGAUGCAACCACCUCUGGCCAGUUCCUACAGCACA